rnacentral:rRNA from 1 species
UACGGAGGGUGCAAGCGUUAUCCGGAUUCACUGGGUUAAAGGGUGCGUAGGCGGGCAGGUAAGUCAGUGGUGAAAUCCCCGAGCUUAACUUGGGAACUGCCGUUGAUACUAUCUGUCUUGAAUACUAUGGAGGUAAGCGGAAUAUGUCAUGUAGCGGUGAAAUGCUUAGAUAUACAUAGAACACCAAUUGCGAAGGCAGCUUUGCUACACAGUUAUUGACGCUGAGGCACGAAAGCGUGGGGAUCAAACAGG